ACACACCAUCAGUCUCUAAUUCCAUAGUGAAUUGAAGGGAUGGAUGCAGACUGUUGAGGGUGGAAAGGAAUGCUUCUGCGGAAGCAAUAUUGCUUUGCGAUAUGAUGGAAUCAUCAACAAACCGGUGGUAUAAGGAGUGCAUCAGGUUCCGUUAUACCAGCUUUUCCUCAAUUGAACACAUGAACGCGUUCGCCAUGAGUGGAGCAAGUGGGGAGUUCAUUGCAACUCCGUCGACUUGCUCGUAUAACUUACCGUCGAUUUGGAAUAGCUGAUGUUUAACUGCUAACUUCAUGAGUUCGACAAGUUCAAAUUUCUCAAGCUUUAGGUUGUAUUUCCAGUUGAACCAUUCUUUCUCAAACGCUUUGUCGGCAAGAAUUUGGAUCGUUUCAUCAACUGGUACAUUGGUGAAAAGCGAUGCAACGUCAUACGAUACUGGCAUGUCACUCUCAGCCAUUUGUUUCUCG